rnacentral:rRNA from 1 species
UACGAGGGGGGCAAGCGUUGUUCGGAAUUACUGGGCGUAAAGCGUGCGCAGGCGGUUUUGUAAGUCAGAUGUGAAAUCCCCGGGCUUAACCUGGGAACUGCGUUUGAAACUACAAGGCUAGAGUGUGGCAGAGGGGGGUGGAAUUCCACGUGUAGCAGUGAAAUGCGUAGAGAUGUGGAGGAACACCGAUGGCGAAGGCAGCCCCCUGGGUUAACACUGACGCUCAGGCACGAAAGCGUGGGGAGCAAACAGG